rnacentral:lncRNA from 10 species
GCUGGAAACCAGACGCUAAAGCUUGCAGCUGUGCAGCUAGGGGAGCAUCUGUUUUCCACUUGAGAGCAACCCGGGCACGCGAGAACGGCCCGAUUUCGGUGCAGGGGUGCGUCCCGAAGGAACGGGGGACUGUUUCUGCGCGGACAGGCGAACCCGGCAGGGGAAACCGAGGCCACGCUAGGUCCGCAGCCCCGAGGUGUCCACAAGAGCUCCGCUCGCGCAAGGGCGCGGAGCGAGGCUGCCCGCGGGACCGGCCUGCGGAGCGAGCGGCCAACGAGUGGAUAAAGAAAAUGUGAUAUAUAUGCACUAUGGAAUACUAAGCCAUAAGAAGGAAUGAAAUAAUGGCAUUUGCAGCAACCUAGAUGGAGUUGGAGACCAUUAUUCUAAGUGAAGUAACUCAAGAAUGGAAAACCA